GCCGGGCGCGGUGGCACGUGCCUGUGAUCCCAGCAGCUCGGGAGGCUGAGACAGGAGGAUCACAAGUUCAAAGCCAGCCUCAGCAACGGCGAGGCACUAAGCAACUUAGUGAGACCCUAUCUCUA
rnacentral:sRNA from 1 species